rnacentral:lncRNA from 1 species
AUUUUCAGAGCACUUAAUUAAUUUUUCACACAAUAGUUUCUACGCCGGAAGCUAUUGUGUAUCUUUUACUGGAUCUAACCUUACGUUAGAUCAUAGUAUUUUUUAUCUCUUUGCUUUUAUUUUCCUGUCCGAUUGAAGAGUGCAAGAACAAAUCCAAUCGGUCUGUGGUGGAGUGUUCAAGAUUCCUAUUAAUUAUUCA